UACGGAGGGAGCUAGCGUUGUUCGGAAUUACUGGGCGUAAAGCGCACGUAGGCGGCUUUGUAAGUUAGAGGUGAAAGCCCGGAGCUCAACUCCGGAACUGCCUUUAAGACUGCAUCGCUUGAAUCCAGGAGAGGUGAGUGGAAUUCCGAGUGUAGAGGUGAAAUUCGUAGAUAUUCGGAAGAACACCAACGGCGAAGGCAGCUCGCUGGGACGGUACUGACGCUGAGACGCGAAAGCGUGGGGAGCGAACAGG
rnacentral:rRNA from 1 species